rnacentral:rRNA from 1 species
GCGAAAAGAACCCCGGCGAGGGGAGUGAAAAAGAACCUGAAACCGUGUACGUACAAGCAGUGGGAGCACGCUUCGGCGUGUGACUGCGUACCUUUUGUAUAAUGGGUCAGCGACUUAUAUUCUGUAGCAAGGUUAACCGAAUAGGGGAGCCGAAGGGAAACCGAGUCUUAACUGGGCGUUAAGUUGCAGGGUAUAGACCCGAAACCCGGUGAUCUAGCCAUGGGCAGGUUGAAGGUUGGGUAACACUAACUGGAGGACCGAACCGACUAAUGUUGAAAAAUUAGCGGAUGACUUGUGGCUGGGGGUGAAAGGCCAAUCAAACCGGGAGAUAGCUGGUUCUCCCCGAAAGCUAUUUAGGUAGCGCCUCGUGAAUUCAUCUCCGGGGGUAGAGCACUGUUUCGGCAAGGGGGUCAUCCCGACUUACCAACCCGAUGCAAACU